UACGUAGGGUGCAAGCGUUGUCCGGAAUUAUUGGGCGUAAAGAGCUCGUAGGCGGUCUGUCGCGUCGGCUGUGAAAACCCGGAGCUCAACUCCGGGCCUGCAGUCGAUACGGGCAGACUGGAGUUCGGCAGGGAAGACUGGAAUUCCUGGUGUAGCGGUGAAAUGCGCAGAUAUCAGGAGGAACACCGGUGGCGAAGGCGGGUCUCUGGGCCGAUACUGACGCUGAGGAGCGAAAGUGUGGGGAGCGAACAGG
rnacentral:rRNA from 1 species